GACGAACGCUGGCGGCGUGCUUAACACAUGCAAGUCGAACGGAAAGGCCCUGCUUGCAGGGUACUCGAGUGGCGAACGGGUGAGUAACACGUGGGUGAUCUGCCCUGCACUUCGGGAUAAGCCUGGGAAACUGGGUCUAAUACCGGAUAGGACCAUCGUUUAGUGUCGGUGGUGGAAAGUUUUUCGGUGCAGGAUGAGCCCGCGGCCUAUCAGCUUGUUGGUGGGGUAAUGGCCUACCAAGGCGUCGACGGGUAGCCGGCCUGAGAGGGUGGACGGCCACAUUGGGACUGAGACACGGCCCAGACUCCUACGGGAGGCAGCAGUGGGGAAUAUUGCACAAUGGGCGCAAGCCUGAUGCAGCGACGCCGCGUGGGGGAUGAAGGCCUUCGGGUUGUAAACUCCUUUCAGCCAUGACGAAGCUGGCCUUGUUGGGUCAGUGACGGUAGUGGUAGAAGAAGCACCGGCUAACUACGUGCCAGCCGCCGCCGUAA
rnacentral:rRNA from 1 species